rnacentral:rRNA from 1 species
GAUGAACGCUGGCGGCGUGCCUAAUACAUGCAAGUCGAGCGAACAGACGAGGAGCUUGCUCCUCUGACGUUAGCGGCGGACGGGUGAGUAACACGUGGAUAACCUACCUAUAAGACUGGGAUAACUUCGGGAAACCGGAGCUAAUACCGGAUAACAUGUUGAACCGCAUGGUUCAACAGUGAAAGACGGUCUUGCUGUCACUUAUAGAUGGAUCCGCGCCGCAUUAGCUAGUUGGUAAGGUAACGGCUUACCAAGGCAACGAUGCGUAGCCGACCUGAGAGGGUGAUCGGCCACACUGGAACUGAGACACGGUCCAGACUCCUACGGGAGGCAGCAGUAGGGAAUCUUCCGCAAUGGGCGAAAGCCUGACGGAGCUACGCCGCGUGAGUGAAGAAGGUCUUCGGAUCGUAAAACUCUGUUAUUAGGGAAGAACAAAUGUGUAAGUAACUAUGCACGUCUUGACGGUACCUAAUCAGAAAGCCACGGCUAACUACGUG